rnacentral:rRNA from 1 species
AUGCUACAGGCUUAACACAUGCAAGUCGAGGGGCAGCAUGGUCUUAGCUUGCUAAGGCCGAUGGCGACCGGCGCACGGGUGAGUAACACGUAUCCAACCUGCCGUCUACUCUUGGACAGCCUUCUGAAAGGAAGAUUAAUACAAGAUGGCAUCAUGAGUCCGCAUGUUCACAUGAUUAAAGGUAUUCCGGUAGACGAUGGGGAUGCGUUCCAUUAGAUAGUAGGCGGGGUAACGGCCCACCUAGUCUUCGAUGGAUAGAGGUUCUGAGAGGAAGGUCCCCCACAUUGGAACUGAGACACGGUCCAAACUCCUACGGGAGGCAGCAGUGAGGAAUAUUGGUCAAUGGGCGAGAGCCUGAACCAGCCAAGUAGCGUGAAGGAUGACUGCCCUAUGGGUUGUAAACUUCUUUUAUAAAGGAAUAAAGUCGGGUAUGGAUACCCGUUUGCAUGUACUUUAUGAAUAAGGAUCGGCUAACUCCGUGCCAGCAGCCGCGGUAAUACGGAGGAUCCGAGCGUUAUCCGGAUUUAUUGGGUUUAAAGGGAGCGUAGAUGGAUGUUUAAGUCAGUUGUGAAAGUUUGCGGCUCAACCGUAAAAUUGCAGUUGAUACUGGAUAUCUUGAGUGCAGUUGAGGCAGGCGGAAUUCGUGGUGUAGCGGUGAAAUGCUUAGAUAUCACGAAGAACUCCGAUUGCGAAGGCAGCCUGCUAAGCUGCAACUGACAUUGAGGCUCGAAAGUGUGGGUAUCAAACAGGAUUAGAUACCCUGGUAGUCCACACGGUAAACGAUGAAUACUCGCUGUUUGCGAUAUACUGCAAGCGGCCAAGCGAAAGCGUUAAGUAUUCCACCUGGGGAGUACGCCGGCAACGGUGAAACUCAAAGGAAUUGACGGGGGCCCGCACAAGCGGAGGAACAUGUGGUUUAAUUCGAUGAUACGCGAGGAACCUUACCCGGGCUUAAAUUGCAGAUGAAUUACGGUGAAAGCCGUAAGCCGCAAGGCAUCUGUGAAGGUGCUGCAUGGUUGUCGUCAGCUCGUGCCGUGAGGUGUCGGCUUAAGUGCCAUAACGAGCGCAACCCUUGUUGUCAGUUACUAACAGGUUCCGCUGAGGACUCUGACAAGACUGCCAUCGUAAGAUGUGAGGAAGGUGGGGAUGACGUCAAAUCAGCACGGCCCUUACGUCCGGGGCUACACACGUGUUACAAUGGGGGGUACAGAGGGCCGCUACCACGCGAGUGGAUGCCAAUCCCCAAAACCUCUCUCAGUUCGGACUGGAGUCUGCAACCCGACUCCACGAAGCUGGAUUCGCUAGUAAUCGCGCAUCAGCCACGGCGCGGUGAAUACGUUCCCGGGCCUUGUACACACCGCCCGUCAAGCCAUGGGAGCCGGGGGUACCUGAAGUGCGUAACCGCGAGGAGCGCCCUAGGGUAAAACUGGUGACUGGGGCU